rnacentral:rRNA from 1 species
UACGUAGGGGGCAAGCGUUGUCCGGAUUUAUUGGGCGUAAAGAGCUCGUAGGCGGUUUGGUAAGUCUGGUGUGAAAUCUCCACGCUCAACGUGGAGGGGCCACCCGAUACUGCCAUGACUGGAGUCCGGUAGAGGAGUGUGGAAUUCCCGGUGUAGCGGUGAAAUGCGCAGAUAUCAGGUGGAACACCGAUGGCGAAGGCAGUGAUCUGGGCCAGUACUGACGCUGAGGAGCGAAAGCGUGGGGAGCAAACAGG